rnacentral:misc_RNA from 1 species
GAAAUGCGAUAAGUAAUGUGAAUUGCAGAAUUCAGUGAAUCAUCGAAUCUUUGAACGCACCUUGCGCCCCUUGGCUAUUCCGAGGGGCAUGCCUGUUUGAGUAUCAUGAACACCUCAACUCUCAUGGUUCGCCGUGAUGAGCUUGGACUUGUGGAGGUUUUGCUGGCCUUUGGUCGGCUCCUCUCAAACGGAUCAGCUUGCCAGUGUUUGGUGGCGUCAUGGGUGUGAUAAAUAUCUACGCUUGUGGCCGUCUGCCAGGUAACCUUCAGCGAUGGAGGUUCGCUGGAGCUCACAAAGGUCUUCCUCAGCGAAGACAGCUUUUUGAACGUUCGAUCUCAAAUCAGGUAGGACUACCCGCUGAACUUAA